CCUACGGGAGACUGCAGUGGGGAAUAUUGCACAAUGGGGGAAACCCUGAUGCAGCGACGCCGCGUGAGUGAAGAAGUAAUUCGGUAUGUAAAGCUCUAUCAGCAGGGAAGAAAAUGACGGUACCUGACUAAGAAGCCCCGGCUAACUACGUGCCAGCAGCCGCGGUAAUACGUAGGGGGCAAGCGUUAUCCGGAUUUACUGGGUGUAAAGGGAGCGUAGACGGCAGUGCAAGUCUGGAGUGAAAGGUGGGGGCCCAACCCCCGGACUGCACUGGAAACUGUACGGCUGGAGUGCAGGAGAGGUAAGUGGAAUUCCUAGUGUAGCGGUGAAAUGCGUAGAUAUUAGGAGGAACACCAGUGGCGAAGGCGGCUUACUGGACUGUAACUGACGUUGAGGCUCGAAAGCGUGGGGAGCAAACAGGAUUAGAUACCCGGGUAGUC
rnacentral:rRNA from 1 species